rnacentral:lncRNA from 1 species
AAAACUUGAAGAAGAAAAUAAUUGGAGGGUUUUUGUUUUGUUUGUUUGGUGGCACUGUGAAUUAAGUUAUAAAACCAGGGACCUAACAGUUGUUUAAUGGAGCAAAUACGUUACUUAACCCAAAAGAUGUUGUCAGGGAGCACACAGUAUUUAAGAAUACAUCUCGGUUCUUCUUACUGGUGCUGGGCAUAUGUCUUCUCUUUAUCCACCCCAUCUUAUAAGUCACUUCACAGUAUCCGAUAAUCUUGGUACCUUGAUACAGCAUGGGUUUUCUGACCCACUGGUUACAUACAGAAAGACACUUGCUAUCUGUCAAAUCAUUAAUUACAUAUAAAUAAUUCUUCAUAGCACUUUUAGAUUAGCAGGCUUGGGUUUUGUUGUUUGUUUGUUUGUUUGUUUUAAAUGUUGCUGAAGACAGACUCUGGUGCCUUGCACAUGCUCAGUAUGUGCUUUACCACCAAGUUCCUUCCCAGUUCAUACAUACGUGUCAAAGUAGGAAGUCUGGUUUUUCUUCUCUGUCAUCAUUAUCUAAAGAUGGCGGAUGGGGUUUGUUUAAAUAGGUCAGUCAGUUCUAAACUUUAGUACUUGGCUCAGAAGGAAGUCACAACACCCGUUCGUUUAUUUAUUUUUUGUUCCAGUGAUCAGCCUACAGGAAAUGCUAUUGCCCUUGUCCUUAGGCUGACUACCAACCUGACUCACUAACAUGAAACAUUUGUGCUGUGCCUGUGAUGUCUGAGAUCUAAGUUAUACUGAGCUAGAGAAUGUCGUAUAGACACUUUUUUUGUUUUUUUUUUUCGAGACAGGGUUUCUCUGUAUAGUCCAGGCUGUCCUGGAACUCACUUUGUAGACCAGGCUGGCCUCAAACUCAGAAAUCCGCCUGCCUCUGCCUCCCGAGUGCUGGGACUAAAGGCGUGCGCCACCACGCCCGGCUGUAUAGACAGUCUUUAACUGUCGAAAGUUACCUACCACGCGGUCAGGAAGGGAUCCGUGUUCCACCUCUGCCACUGACCUGCCCAGCCUGGGAAGGUUGAAUCUGUAAACAUGGUUAUCCAGCCAAGCUGGGAGAAGCUUAGAGACCAGUUCUCCAGGUUAAAGUACUUUUUAACAAUACACACCUUUAUACAUUGAGCUGCAAUCUGAUUUCUUUGAACUUUAAAUACUUUGUGCGGUAUAAAUAGAUUUAAUGUAUUAAACAUAUUAAAUAAUUACAAAUAAAAGAUUUAAAAAUACUGGUUUUUCCUGUAUUGUCACUGUUAGAAAUCCUUCAAGCACUCCUGCCUCCCUAUCCUGUGCAUUCCAGAGCUCUGUGCAGUUGCCCAGGCAUUGGCAUGGCUCCUGGCAUGGGUUACUCCUCCUCUGUGUUUCCCCUGGACUCAUGACUGCCCAGCUGAAAAUUGUUUCUCAGCCUCCCUGCAGGUGUGGCCCCAUGACAGUUCCAGGCAGUGAGAUGGAAGACUUCUAGCUUGAAGCUUACACAGAGGCAUGGUGUGCAUGCCCCUGAAAGUUCCCUGGCUUGCUGGUCAGGAUGUCUGUGAGAGCCUCAGGCGUCUCCUGGCAUUUCAGGAGAGGGUGGAUGGUCUACUAGUCAAGAACAGCUAUCUUUGACCAGAUACUUUGGAGUGAAAUAAAUGAAGUGUUAUUUAAUACUGUUUUAACAUCUAAUUGGUGUAAUGUAUGUAACACACUAAUGCUGUAAGUUUCCUGUGUAUCUCACGUUCGCACUAUGCAGGUCUUUUCACUUAUGUACCUCUGCUUUCGCUGACCUGCUGAUCUCCAAACCCAUCACAGGCUCACUUUCCUCAGGCUUGCCCACAGCAACUAGUUUCCAUCUUGGUACAUUGUUUUAAAAUUAGUCUUGUUUCAUAAAAUAACCUUACUUUAAUUUGAAUUUCCCUGAUUUAACACCAGACAGAAUACCAUAUUCACCUAGUUUCCUCAGUAUAAAUGAAAGACAGUUAUGAAAGAGGCAAGAACAAAAAGCCAUUCUGGGCUAGUCCAUCAUCCGCCACCACUCCAAAUGCCAGCUUCGACUCAUCGUAGUGCACUGCAAGGCUGACGUCAGACCCCGUGUCUGUCUGUUCCCUCACACUCUGCACGCUGACGUUUGUCACCUGUGGGAAAGUCCAUUUUCCUUUUUAUCUCGUCCUCUGUGUCUUAUUUUUGUGCAUUUCCUGUUCCAAGCAAAUGAUAGAAUUAGCUUAUUAGAUUCCACUGAAGUGUUGCUCUUUUGGCCGGGAUUGCAUUAGUUUGCCCAUUAAUUGGAAGAUAAUAGACUUCUUUAUAAUUAAUAUAAUUUUCCCAUUAGUAUUAUGAGAGGCCUAAUUUUAUUGCUUGGGUAACAUUCCUCAUAAGGGUUCAGUUUUAUAUUAGCUUCGUUCUAGAUGUUUUACAGAAUUUUUGUUUAGGAUUUUAAAGGAUCUUUUACUUUC